CAAUAGCGUAUAUUCAAGUUGUUGCAGUUAAAAAGCUCGUAGUUGGAUUUCGGGUGGGACGCAGCGGUCUCGCAUUGCGUUUGUACUGCUGCAGCCCUCCUUCUUGCCGGGGGCGGCCUCUCGGACUUCACUGUCUGGGGGUCAGAAUCGGCGAUGUUACUUUGAGUAAAUUAGAGUGUUCAAAGCAAGCUUACGCUCUGAAUAUAAUAGCAUGGGAUAACACGACAGGACUCUGGCCUAUCGUGUUGGUCUAUAGGACCAGAGUAAUGAUUAAGAGGGACAGUCGGGGGCAUUCGUAUUCCGUUGUCAGAGGUGAAAUUCUUGGAUUUACGGAAGACGAACAUCUGCGAAAGCAUUUGCCAAGGAUGUUUUCAUUGA
rnacentral:rRNA from 1 species